CACAGAUGGAUGUAUGAGAUAAACGUGAUCGAUCAGAGCGCUGUCUGACUGAGGUCCUCGUUCGAUGGUGGUUAAAAGGGUAGCAUUUUGGUAACUGAAGAUUUUAAUCAGUCAGUUCAUCAUUAUUAAUCCUGAGCAGUCAGACUUUUUUAUGAGACAGACAAAGCUCUGAUGAUGUGAGUCGAUUACCACUUUUUUACCACGCUUUCAAAGCAUUUCACUGAACCAAACCAACCUUUCUUUCUGGGACCUUCAUCGCAAUGAACUUCUGACAUAAAUUUAUGAAAAAUUUCAAAACAAUUUUUAAUUUUCCAAAAGCAGGGAGGAAUUUCAACAAACAGAUUUCAGUCUAACUCUGCCUUCUAUUCAAGAGGCUGUAGACAAGGCUGUCCAGUCUCACGUCUAUACUGUAUGACAGCUCGAUAUCUGAGUGAAUAAAAUGUGAACCCAAAAUUACUGAACACAUUCAUAUCAUGGCAACAGUUGCUCUGGGUAUGACAGACUUCCCGUCAAACACAUACGGGAGUCAAAUUUCAAUGAUUUUUUUUUAGUUUUUCUCAUCUGUGUGUGUCACACUCAUAUUUUAAAAUGGACUGGGUGAACACAGCGGGCUAUAGGAGGACUGUGAUGAUCCUACUUUAUUAAUUACAUCUUAUCACACAUAUGAUUAAUAAUCCUGAGACAAUCUGAAUGAAGAAUCAACAACAACAACAUUACUUUCUUCAUUACAACAACAUUAUUUUCUUUGUAUUUUGCCUGCUUUAUUUUAACAGGUUUUACCCCAAUGAAGUCUUUUCUCAACCUCUUCUUCAUCAGUCAGUCUUCCUACAUUUACAUAUAUUUUUCAAAUUGACCUGAACCAUUUAUCAUGGUUCAUUCCUCAUUAAUGUUUUGUUUUUGUUUGUUACUUUUUUUUUACUCUUAAGGUCCUUACACAGCGGGAACUUUGCAAAUAUACGCCGUGAAACUACGAAAUAUUCAGAGGCGAAUUUUGACACGCCUGACUAUACACAUCAAGUGCAAUGUGAUUUUGCGACCUUCCGGGGGGGAAAAAAGACGCAUCCCAGGUGGAAGCAAGAAGACUGACACAACAGCAGACUGACUGUUUUUCAGUUCUGAUUAGACACGAGUGUUGAGAUGGCUGUCUGUCAUGAUAGCAUGUACUGAGUCGGGCCAGUACCAGAUAAGCACAUUAAACUAUAAUCCAUAAACGUAAGGUUACAACCGAAACCUAAUGGUGCUGUGACAGCAACGCAAUUCAGUUUGAGACAGUGACAAUACAUACGGUAUGUUGUCUCUGAACAGGUUAGCUUACGAGCUAAAGUUACUAAGCACAGAUGAAAGUUGAAACAAAGACGUUUAUCUUUGCUAUCUUUGUAGUUUUUGUUUUUAUCAAAAAGCACUCCUUUCUCCGACACAUUAACAAUCAGCUGGUCGGCCGUGUUGGAUAUACUGGUGAAUCUGACAUCACAACAACAUGCAAUCUGAUUGGUCAGAAGUGGACACACGGUAUGAAAAACUUUAGAAAAAUCAACCAUGAUCCGAAAAAAUAAAUGCCGCAAUAUUGCAGGACAGGAAAAUGUCGCUGAUGUGAAUACUUGAAUUGAUAGGAUACAGGUUUGAGAAAAAUAUCGAUGUCCGAAAUAAUCGCACGAAAAAAACGCUCCCAGUGUGUAAGGACCUUUAGACUCCUACCUGUUAUAAAGAAGGAUAAGGGACACAGGAUAAAAGGGCCCAUACAACCUUUUUUUAUAAUUCUGAGAAAAAGUCAGAAUUCUGAGUUCAAAGUCAGAAUUCUAAAGUCUCACCUGCCCUCUGACUUUUUUCUCAGAGUCCGGAGUUUGAGGUCAGAAUUCUGAGAUUAAAGUCAGAAUUCUGGGUUUAAACUCUUUCAAACAAUGGCUUUAAUCUCAGAAUUUUGACUUAAAACUCUGAAUUCUGACUUUGAACUCUGACUUUUUCCUCAGAAUUCAGAGAUUAAAGUCAGAAUUCUGCCAUUCUGAGUUUGAAGUCUGAAAUCUGACUUUAUUCUCAUAAUAAUGAUAAAAAUUUAUAUAUAUAUAUAUAUAUAAGAUUGUUAGUUUUAUUUUAUUUUUUUUUUGUGGUGGCCCUAAUCCUCUCCUGUUAUCCUAUUCACUCUGGUAAAAUUGGAAUUUUAGAAAUUGUUGCUCAGUCUACUGGGUUUAUCUGGAGCCAUUGGGCUUUAGCUGAGAGUCUGGAACCCACAAAAAAGGCAUUUUAAGGGACACCGCUUUAAAGCCAUGGCCCUCUAACUGUGACCAGCUGCUGUGAUAAAGAGCUGCUAAAACUCUAACAUCACUAAUAAAUUACUAAAGAUGGUGUGAAGAUCAAUGAUUAAAACACAAUUUAAUUUCCUCCUUGAAUGGAGGUGGUGCUCAAAGUUUCUGUCAGAGGGAGUUAGGCAACAUUAAUUUUAAAACCAUAAACUGAGUCAGCAGAUGAAAGUGAUGGUUGAGCUCAGCACUCAGAAAAAAAGGUUGUUCAGGGAUGUUUUUUUCUGAAUGAUGCUUCCUCUGUAAACCAUCAUCUUAGGAUGACACAGUAAAUAUGACAGAUUUCAGUUUUUCUUCUCAGCUCUGCAUAUGAAAUCCAAACUAGGACUCUGAGAGUGAAUUAAACCAGUUUUUUUUUCCCCUGAAAUCUUCCUCCGCCUGUCUCUGACUCUGGAUGGAUUUCUGCUCUACCAUCUGUGCAGUCAAAAUUCAAACCUGUGAAAUAUCAGGAGUCUCCUCAAAGCUCUGAACAGGUACUGACUCACUGAGGAUUUUAGGAUCCUUCAUUUACAGUCAGAGCACUAAAUAACAUGAAGAGUCUGUCGUUUACACACUGAACUCUGAGAGACUGGAGAGUUCAGAUGGCUGAUAAUCACCUUAAAUAUCAUGAAUGUCCAGUUUCUCUCAGUUCCUGUUAGAAAAAAGAUGGAGGUGCACUGACAGAGGGAGGAGAAAUGUCUGUUCUUGUGUUUAAAAAAAAAAAAAAAAACAUGAACAUGAGAGCUGAAUGAUUUUAGUGUUGAUGAUUGAUUUGUGGAUUAAGGUCCUUUCACACCGGGACCGUUUUGUGAUGCGAUUAUUUCAGACGUUAGUAUUUUUUUUCGAACCCAUAUCCUGUCAAUACGAGCACUCACAUCAGCAAAAUUUUCCCGUCCUGCGAUAUUACAGCAUUUAUUUUUUGGAUCAUGGUCCAACGGAAAUUUUCCAGCGGACAUCUGAAAAUAGGUUAUGAAGCGAGCGUGGUACAGUUUCAGCUCCUGAACCAAGCAGUGAAACUCACCAAGCUCUCUUCUUUUUUUAAUAUUGGAUGCUCUCAUGUGCUACGUUUCUUUUUCUUUUGAGAAAGCAAAAGGAGUACCAAUUCGUCAUCACCUGAAGUUGAGGUAGACUCCAUUUUUGUCUUCCUGGUUCCACCCGGGACGCUGUAGGAUGGUAAGGGAAGGUCCAGCCCUUCUUUGCCUCUGAUUGACUAUAAGUGCUACAGUUUGGCUUGUGCAUGUGAUGAUGUUUCCAGCUUUUCUAGCCAAUCAGAGGCGAAGGAGGCGAGAAUUUCCCUGGGAAAAUCUUCCCAAGGAUGCGUUUUCGUCCCCCCGGAAAGUCGCAAAAUCGUGUCAGGCUUAAAGUGUAUUGUCAGGCGCGUCCAAAUUCACCUCUGAAUAUUUUGUAAUUUCGCGUUCUAUAUUUGUGUCGGCCCCGGUGUGUAAGGACCUUCAGUCUCAGAAAAAGUCAGGAGGAAGAGACAGACAGACAAACAGACGAGGAGGAUGAAGUCAGGAGAAUAAGGGUGUAAAGUUCUGGACUGUGGCAGAAAAGGGAGAGUGAAAAUACAGAGGCCAGUCUCACAGUGAGGAAGUUCGCACUCUCAGCUUCACUGAACAUCUCUAUCACAGAGAGCGAAGAAGAGUCGACCCUCCCGCCCCAUCAGAGAAGAAGAAGAUUACAGCUGACCAUCAACCACAGGACUGAGCCUGACAGGUCACAGCAGACCGUCUGAGAAACUGCAGCUCUACAACCAUCAGCUCACACACUCUCUCACACACUCACAGCAUAAAGACACGGCAGCAUGAAUUAGACUCCGUUCAUCCACCAACACUCCUCUUUUUA
rnacentral:lncRNA from 1 species